CUGAAAGUUGUGACUGUUGAUGUGUAUACUAGCAGAAGCAUUUUCUAGGGCAACAACCCUUAACCCUCAUUCACGCGUGGCGUCGAUUAAAAGCGGUUCUUGCAAGAGAAUUAUUAUUACACGGAUAAAUUUAUCCGGCGCGAGAAGAAUUUCAUUAUCAAUGAUUUACUAUUAUCGUUAAUAUAUUCGCGUAUUACUCUGUAGUAAAACACGUGCAAAUUGCUAAGACAUUUGCAUGCUAAUUACUUAAUGUGUUCAAAGUGGAUAAAAGUUUUUUUGAAAAGCGUCGCCGGAAUAAGAUCGACGAGAAGUAUCGUAAAUAGAAGACGGAGUGAUCAGAGAACUUGGGACUAACGGACAAUUAAAGAUCCGGAAAAAAUUGAAACAAAACACGGCUCGUUAAAAAUUGAAUCGCAACGCUGGAUGCAAAAUUAAUUCGCAUUUAAUGAAGCGUUGAUGAAUUAAACAUAAAGCCGCAGGUACCCAUGCCUUUUAAAGAAGCUUAUACGUAUCCUUCCACAAAACGUCACAAUGACGCACGGUUCUUAAUCGAUUUCAUUUCAGCGAAAACAGAAAUUUCCUUGUAAAUAGAAACGGCGAAGUGGAGAGAAAAAAAGCGAGAAGAAAAGAAAACGUACUAAACUUCGCGUCGGCCUUAGGAACGAGCCAGUGCCGUUCGUCACGACUUAUUAGUGUUUACCAGGAAAAAUAUGCUAGUAACGAUGAUGAUAGAAAUCCUUCUUACGCCGUAUUAAACGCGCAGAGAAAAAGAGAAGACAGAAAAAAUGAUAAUAAUAUUUGAAAUACCUAGAAGACAAGAUUCUGUCGUCGGUUUGUACUAAGGCACUGUGGAACUCGGCUGUGAGUUACGUAUAAAGAAGAAGGAAAACAAAAAGCGACGCAAAAAGUUACGCGAUCAUUUUUGUUGUCGGAUACGAAAAUUUUCUAAGCGAAACUGGCGUCGCGUUUAAUAUUUAUGCGCGAACGAUACCGCGGCACGAGUAAAAACGAUACAGUCUAAUUAUCUGUCGGUGUUUUUCAACAAUGGGACCGUGCGGCAACGCAAAUAUGUAACGAUAUCAACAGUUCCGGAGUGUUUUACGCGGGUCACUAUCCGGGCAUGUUACAGAAACACGCGCGGCCGUGCGUUGCACGCGGGAGGGAAAAGAAGCGGCAUCGGCCUCUGAGAGUGAACACAUUUUUCAUGGCACGGAAAAAGAUUGAACGGGGCCGGGAGUCAAGACGUUCGCACGGUUAUCUUCGAUAUUGACUCUCCUAUCCCCACUCGUGUGCAAACGUCGAGAGAUGUUGCAUCCGUAGUGGUUCGCCAUUGCUACUCGUGUAACACUUCCACCGCUGCUCAAGAAGAUCCCGAUAAACACGCAAUUUGUUAUUCGCAGAAAAUAAGUUAAAGUCCUCUUUACUUCAUCAUAUUUUCCAAUUCUUGUCCCCGAAUAUUUUCCAUUUCCUUAUUCAUGCUCGUUGUUAUACGAAUUCUAAAAAUUAGAGUAGAUUAACAUAUUUUGCUAUUUUCUAGGAACAGUUUUGCAGUCCAGAUUAGAACGUUCGCUAAUCGCGAAUCACGAUGCAUUUGCAUAUUUUCAAGUUCCUCAAUACGAUGCAACCGUUGCCGAAUCUUCGCGGAUGUCGUUACACCGUGGUUUUCUACACUGAACAGAGGUCGUUCGCACCGUGACGGCCAUAAUAAGCCGGCGUGCUUCGGAACCGCAUGGCUGCUCGAGAAGAGGAGGCAGAGGAGGAGGAAGAGGAGGAGGCUCGUCCCCUUAUGGUCCCCAGGGGAAGAGCGUGGCUAUUCGAAUCAACUCGAUCUUCGAGGAAGAGAAUCCACGAAGGAAGUGGCUGGCUGCGCGGAACCUAUGGGUACCGAACAAGCGCGGGAGAGUUUAUUUUCUCAGAAGUGUAGCGCGCCGAGCUUGGUACAGUCCCUGCCGUUACUGGCUGAAUAAUUUCAUCCUCCCCGCGUAUAUACGCUCCGAGAUAAGCCUACGCUUGAGCCUGAACGCGAUCAAACGUAUCACCGACACCCGUGCCCACCCGUGCCCGCGCAUCUUUUCUCAGCGAUACGAUCUUCGCGUUUUACUCUGAAUGCUCGCCUCGAUUAAAAACCGCUUUAAAACGUUCGAGGAUCGCAGGAAAACCUAACAUCCUUUUCCAUUUCUCAAGGCUCGAUUGUUCGCGGUUCUCGACAUCCUUAGAUGGGUUAAGGACCUUUUACCUUGGAACGGUCGAUCAUAUUGCACAGCGCAAUGCUACUACCAAGCGCACGGAAUGCGAUUCUCAUUUUAUACUGCGCGUUACUUUUAUUACCGCCGCGAAAUAUUUCUUUAUGUUUCUUACUCAAGCAAGUCUCUUAAAGCGGAGGAAAAAUGAGAGAUAAGGAAAUACGGAGAAAUUUUCGAGAAAAGAACUGCAAUCAGACGAGAUUGAAGGAAGAUCAUUAAUUUCAUCCGUCAACAUCCCCGCGACCCCCUGAAUUAAAUGGGGGUUACAUAUUCGGUCGCCGGAUCGUUAUUUCUGAAACUUUCAAAAAGACAAUUUUUCAAGCCGUGGCACAUAGUGCUUGGAAACGUUAUUUACAAGUAAGCUCAAAUACCGAGUUCGUGCAUUAGGUAAUGGUUCGACCUCAUCGGAAGUACUCGCUCUGGAUCUUUUAAGCGUGUGUGUAUUUUUGUUAAGGGUUUUCACGUUAGAGGAAAAACUUAAAAAAUAAUUAAUUCUGUGGUUUAGUCUACAGGAAAUCAGAGAUAACAGAUCGGCUGGUCCAAUGUAAUUUAUAUCGCAGCCAGACGUAACACGAGCAUCACACCAAACGCUGUUACCAAAUGCUUUCGGCUAUGUGUCACAGGGACGAACAUUUCAGACGAAUCAUCAGACUCUUUCUCUUUCUCUCUCUCUCUCUUUCUCUCUCGUCUCACAUUCCUUCUAAUUGAUCGCUGCAUUUCUACCAAUGAAAGAUCGGUUCCCUGUGCUACACAACCACAACAAUCCCAUCGCGUUCAUCAUCCGAGUAUGCAUAAUCGGAGCCAAGCAAAUUGUUUUUCGGUCUAAAUCGCGUAUCUUUCCCAUGCGGGA